GGGGAUCUGCUGCAGUCGUGAGCAGAGGAUCCAUGGUUCCCCUUCCUUCCCUCCUCCAUGGCUUGCUUUGCAACAGCAAAGUGGGAGAAGAGCCACUGAGUGGGGAGGAGAGAGGGACAGAGAGCCUGCUUGCUUUAAAGGAGCAAAGCGGGAGAGGAGAGGAGCCUUCUCCUCUUAUACCCCUCUUCUGCAUUAUUAACAGCAUCCUUCUCCACCCACCCCACGCGUGUUCCUUGUCCCUUGAGUGCUUUUCCUUCCCUCCCCACUUAAAACGUGGUUACAAAGCA